rnacentral:tRNA from 1 species
GUUAAAAAAGGCUCAGUUGGGAUAGCAUUGAACUGAAGAUAUAAAGGUCCCUGGUUCAUUUCCAGGUUUUGGCA